UUCAUUUUUUUUUUUUUUUUUUUUUUUUUUUAAUCUGCUUCAUAGGUGUUUCUCUAAUGUGUUCGUUUUAUUCGUUGAUUUUACAAGAUCGUAUCGGCAGCGAUACAGCAUUUAGUUAUUUUUACGUUUGCCGACUUAUAUAGGUCAAGAUACGCCAUAAAUUUCGUGUAUUCUUUUCCUUUUCUUUUUCUUAUGGGACGAUCACCGUAUCGUAUUUUAAAAUCAAUUUAUCGAUACUCGUUGCACUAAAACUACACGCGACGAAUUAUCGGGAAAAAAAUCCGCGAAAUAACCUAGUUAUAUUUAACGACGAAAGAGAGCAGCAGGUGGAGCGAAGUAAAGUAGCCGGUUAAGAGUCGCAAAUUGAAAGACAAGUGGACCUUCGGGACAUCAGAAUUCAACUUUGUGACAAGUAUAACGACACAAAGAUUCAUCGAUCAUCGUACGUGAUCGGCUUGUUAAACAAAGCUACUAUCGUAGUCAUCGAUCUGGUUUCCGUACGUAGAAUGAAGUUGUUGUUGAUCGAACGAGACGAAGAAGACGACGAAGGAGGAGAGGAAGAAGCAAGAAAGGAACGAUCAACGGUUCAGAAGCGUUCUCACGUAAAAAUACUCGCGUUAAUUUCAUUGCACGCGUUAAUACAUGCUCCGAAAUGGUUCGCUUUCCGAUCGUUCGUAAUUACACCGAUUAUCCGUGGUGAGCGUGCAUGUCCAGCCAUUUUGAACAUAAAUUACUCGCGAUCACCGAUACGUCCCUGCAUCGGUAGAGAAAUAAAAGAAAUCGCGAUGGAGUACGUGACCAUCGAAAGGUUCUGCCCUUUUUACCGAUACUUUCUCGACGUUUGCAACUGUUCCCGAGUUGGCUCGGGGCCAACAAUCAUUUUAUUAUCGCAGUUUACACCGCACGGGACUGGCUAACCACGUUGGUCGUUAGUAUUUUGUUAGAGGUUUUCCCGGGUUAAUAAAUUGGAUAGCAUGGGACAAGUUCAAAUUCACGAUAUCGUUUCGCCUAUUCGUUACAAAAAUGGAGCAACGAGAUUGUCGCGACUGAAAAUUCCACCGGUCUCGUUGCUCCUCCCUUUGUAACUCGUAUAAAACUGGCCGCAAUUUAAAAACUACUUUACGAAACAACGUUUUAAUUUCGAAAUAAUAGUUUCCGCUUAACGGUAUCAAUUUUUAACGCCGCAUUAACCCGAUAAGGAAUUUCUGGCGGAGCGUAAUUCUUGCGGUCGUAGCUUUACGACCGUAAAACCACAGACCCAUUCAGGUUCUCAGAACCUACGCAAUUAUGUCUAAUUCGCGAUACGUUCGUCUUAUUUUUUUCUUCUUCGAGGAUUUAUCGGGAUACACUCGCAAGUUUGACGUUGAGUGUUCUUCGCGGCAAAGUGGCUCGACUUUAUAUGAAAUUAUCGACGUGGUUAAAGCUGUGAAAGACUAUCAAAGGUGCUCGAAUGACACCUGUUGCUCCACACCGAGUCUUCGACAGAAAUUUCGUCGGGUCCGCUUUUCCAUGGAUUCCGAUGUCGCUGCCAAUAUUUCACCUGGAUAAUUGUAACCUGCCCGCGGUCCUCGUAAACGCCAUUUCGUGAGAAUUACACCUGAAGCUUCUCAAUUAAGUAACGUUAAAUCUCUUGAAGUUGGGGAUGCGGGAUACAAAGGAAAGGAGACGACAUAAACGUAUUUAUAUCCCGCAGCGAAUGUGAAAUAAAAAGGCGAAAAGAAAGACAUCGACUUUGUAUUCUUGCGGUGCAGAGGCUUCGAUCGAAAAAAUGAAACUUCGAACAUCGAUAGGAUAAUAACUGAUGCUUGACGCGUUCAGUGAAAACACAAUGGCCCUUGGAUUGUAGUGCUUCUCGCGCGAUUCGAUAUCAGUAUUUAUCACCUGACGAAAAGCUGACAGUACGAACAAAUAGCAGGGAAGCAUUGAAAAAUUCGGUUAUUCUUUCGUUCGAGGGAAAAGCCAAUAUCUGCAGACAAUCGAACGUACGCGACAAAGGAUAACAUUCGGUCGACCGAUUUUCCGGAUGUCUAUUCUUUAUGGCUCGCUAAAAGUUGCGUAAACUGUCAGAGCCAUAGCAGUUCGUAUCUCUUGUCGAUAUGCACGCUAUUCUUUACACGUUUCUUUCUCACAAAGUCUAGUUGUAGAGAUGCUGCGUAACGUAAAAUAUAAAAUUAUAAAAGCUAUAUUAAGUAAUAAAAAAAUAAUUAAAAGUUCAAAAAGGAAAAUUCUCUCAACUGUGAACUUCAAUUUUCCCUCAAUUCUUUAAACUCGCUCUGUAUUGUAGAAAAUUUCAUUGUCACGGUAUUGUAGAAGACCAUACAUCGCGUUUCAAGAAACUUUACGACGAUGAAAAAGUCCUUGAAUCCGUACAACAUAAAUCCUCCAUAACGAUCUGUGUUUAGAAACUUCGAAUUAAAUUGCCAAGCAAUUAUUAUCAUAAAAAACUUUAAAUCGCGUGACAUUUUCACUCGCCAAGACCAAAGGAUGACAAGUAGUUAUGAGGUAGGUCAUCGAAAAGCAUCCAGUGAUGCUUAUCGAUUGUUGUUUCGUGAGACGCCAGUCAAUAUCCUGAUCGUAACCAUCAACGAAUAGCCGCUUCUCCUUGGCCGUUCUAUCCGUCUUGUAAUUCAUCGAAUGUCGUCCGUUUCGCCAUACUGUUUACAGCUGCUGUUUUAUUACACGGUUGCGUAACGCUGAUAAGUCGAGUAAGUGGCGAACGAGGAUCAUUCACGGAACGAACCAAGUCCGUAUAGUUACACGGCUCGUAAAAUACAUCGUUGAAAUAAUGAUUUGAUUGUUAGAAUGGGUAGGCCAUGGCGAAGGCUGCUUUCACGCGCUACGUCCUCUUACAGCCUUAUACUUGUCCGAUCCGAUGCAU